GGCAGUUCUCAGGUGUCACACCCAGGAAUUGGGCUCCCUCCUCUCUGGUUCUGGGGUGCAUCACCCAAGAAACGCC
rfam:Myotis davidii contig66397, whole genome shotgun sequence.